UAUCUUCCUUUCCCGUUGCAUAACAUUUUCCUACUGUUUGCCCUACUGAACAUGACCCUGGUUUACAAACCCUAUUUAAUUUGUGCACAGCUGCAGAGAUUAGAGAGAAGAGGAUGGAAGAGAAGCUUCUGGAGGUGGACAGAGAGGGAGACCUCUUCAGCUGGUCAGCAUCUGAUCAUCCCUGACCCUCCACUGAACCUCUCAACCUCAGGCUCUGCAAGAUGUGGCCUCCAGACAUCCGCUGUAGAGACCUGCCUACAGGGGGCAGAAGCAGUGUCAGAAAGAUGCUCAAGUCUGGAGCCAACCCCAGCAUCAAGAAGGAGCAGCAACUGAUAUGUCCACUGAAGAAAUUAAACACAUUAUUUUUAUAACUAUGGUACACCUUUUUAAUAAAUAUUAAAUUGGCUUGUGACUUACAUGUUUGCAUGGAUAUUACUUUACGAAGUGCCUGGAUGCAGUUUCAAAUCACUUGCAUUUCGUAAUGUAUAAAACAGGCAUAUAGAUUUUACCUAACAUUUAUAAAGCAAAAUCUACUUAGCUGGUGUCUAUGGAUGAGUCCCAAAUGACACCCUAUUCCCUACAUAGUGCACUGCCUUUUACCAGAGCCCUAUUCUCCCUGGUUAAAAGUAGUGCACUAGAAUAAGGUUCCAUUUGGGACGCAUAUGUGUUGUAUUGACUGCCUCCCUCCCUGUCAGCUAGCAGGAUGUCAUUGAUUAAAUGACUGAUAAAUGGCUAUGUUCUGUUGCAGACCAAACAGUUUUUGACCUGGCCUGCAGUGAGGAGAUUAAGCAGAUUCUGGUGGGCUGUCAUGACAAGGUGAGAUGCGAGAGGAACAUUGAAGCAAAAAGCUGCUGAUUCUGUGAAUCUACUGGAACAAACAGUUGUUUUUCUUCCCCUAGAGGAUACGACAUGUGUUGUGCCGAACAUUGAAGGCCUCUUAUGGAAAGUAUUUGU
rnacentral:lncRNA from 8 species